rnacentral:lncRNA from 1 species
GUUUAAGGUUUACGGUUUGGGUUUAGGGUCUAGGACUUGGGUUUAGGGUAUAGAGUUUAGGUUUAUAGUCAAGUUUUUGGGUUCAGGAUAUAUAAUUUGUGUUUAGGGUCUAGGAUUAGGGUUUAGGGUAUAGGGUUUGGGUUUAGGGGUUUGGAUUUGAGUUUAGAAUUUAGGGUGUAUGGUUUAGAAUUUAAGAUUUAGGGUUUAGGGUUUAGCUGGAAGCGUUAGCGUCGUUAAAAUUAACGUUUUUAUUUUUUGCAGCUAUUUUUAAUUUAAUUUAAUAUUUUUUAAUUAAUAAUAUAUGUGUCACUUUAAUUGGUCGUAAAGGGUGGAGUUAAUUUAGGGGGUAAACUUAAUUUCUGUCCUUUAACGGAAUGUGUGAAUGCUAUGUAUAUUACGUAAUUAUGAAAGAAUUAAUGUCACAAAUAUGCCUUAUAUAUCUUUGACGUUAUAUAAUAGGUAUAACAUUAUGUAUAACACACAGAAGCAAGAUUUGCAGAAAAGUCAGGUGCUAAACAAUUAGGAGUUUGCUGUAUUUUAGUUAACGCUGCAAAUGCGCUCUCGUAUCCUUUUCUUGAACUUAAUAAUAGGUAUAAUAAGAAUCAUAAAUAUCUAUACACAAAGGUAAGAUGCCUACCAGCCUAGGUUUAACCAUAAAGCAAUUGGGAUUUUGACAUGUACCGAUGGAUCU